CUCCAAUGUGUUAAUCGCCAAUGGAUACCAGCAAAACAGGGUUACGAAGCUAAUGCAAAAAGAAACACCCCCCAAAAACCAAGACACAGAAGAAAACAAUGGCAUGGCCCUCCUUCCUUAUAUCAAGGGCACUACAGAUAAAAUUAGCAAAAUCCUCCAUAAACACAAUAUCAAAACAGCCUUUUGCACCAACCAAAAAAUAGCCAAUAUCCUCAGAAACCCCAAGGAUAAAAUCCAGUUGGAAAACCAAGGGGUCUAUGAAAUACCCUGCAAAGUCUGCCCAGCCACGUACAUUGGACAAACAAACAGACGAAUAAAUGCACGUAUCGCAGAACACAAGAAUGCCGUCAAAAAAGAAGAAAAAACUUCCUCUCUUUUCCAACACAUGAAAGAAACAGGACACGAAAUUAAUUUUGCAGAUUCCAAAUUGCUCUCUAACAUGGAACAUCACCACAAGAGAAUAAUCAUGGAAGCCAUCGAGAUAGAGAAACACCCUCACAACAUGAACAAGCGUGACGACACAUCCCGCCUGCCAGACAUCUGGAAAUUAGCCCUCCCCACAAAAACCGACACCAGAUCCAGAGGCACACAGAACGCCAUCACCAAUCAACCACACCAGACCCAAACCCAGACCCUCUCCACAGAUAAAUUACAGACACCAUCCAGUAGCCAAACCAUGGUGGCACCUCCGGAUGCUGCACCCCCCUGCAAUCCCUACACAGAUCUGGCUGGCACAGGACACAAAACCACAGCUCGCCCCUAUACACGAAGCCAAGCCAGAGCACAACUAAUUGCAGUACAGCCAUCUUCUCAGAAAAACUCUUCACAAAGUUCAAGAGGUCAAGACACGAAGGCUUUAGCAACUAAUCCACACCUAAUGACCCACCUAAGUGGUACUCAGGAUAUCACUCAAGAAAUCACUCAAGAUAUCCCUCAAGUAAUUAAGGAACAAAAGAAGAAAAGGCACACUAACCUGGGAACUUCCUCUCUGCCCAGAACAUUGGAGGCUAUACACCACACCCCCU
rnacentral:lncRNA from 1 species